AAAGCAAAAACAAAAACAAACAAACAAAAACCAACCAAGGCUUAGAGAGGCAAAUGAUUCAUACGAUAUAAAAGAAAGAACAAGUGGAAGAAGUGAAGUUUGAACUUGGUUAGCAAAGGCUUUAUUAACGCGAACCUGGUGCCCUCCAGCAAAUGACAAAAAGAAAUACAUAUGGCCUGGAGGACCACCAGGAAGAAGCGGGCUGCUACCCUGCUUACCGGCUGACUAUGUGGCUGUCACGAGACUUUCUUUCUCAAGCUGGAAGGAGAGAAGGAGAUCUACGUCAGAGCAUACGCGCCCCUGCGGGCACACACAAGAAUGUUUCAAGCCUGGCUGUGUAAUGCAGAAAUACUGGAACCAUCUCACGGCUGAAAAUCACUCAGGUGUGUGUGCCUGUGUGCCCAAAGUCCUGAGAGGAAAAUGGAGGAGAGAGGAUGGCAGUGCAGCCAAAUCCACUGGAGGGGAGAGUGGUUUCUUA